rnacentral:rRNA from 1 species
AUUGAACGCUGGCGGCAGGCCUAACACAUGCAAGUCGAACGAGUGGCGGACGGGUGAGUAAUGUCUGGGAAACUGCACGAUGGAGGUGGAUAACUACUGGAAACGGUAGCAAAUACCGCAUACCAUCGGAUGUGCCCAGAUGGGAUUCUCUAGUAGGUGGGGUAACGGCUCACCUAGGCGACGAUCCCUAGCUGGUCUGAGAGGAUGACCAGCAACACUGGAACUGAGAGACGGUCCAGAAUCCUACGUGAGGCAGAAGUGGGGAAUAUUGCACAAGGGGCGCAAGCCUGAUGCAGCCAUGCCGCGUGUAUGAAGAAGGCCUUCGGGUUGUAAAGUACUUUAAGCGAGGAGGCGUUAUUCGCAGAAGGAGCACCGGCUAACUCCGUGCCAGCCGCCGCGGUAAUAC